CGUAGGGCGCAAGCGUUGUCCGGAAUUAUUGGGCGUAAAGAGCUCGUAGGCGGCUUGUCACGUCGGAUGUGAAAGCCCGGGGCUUAACCCCGGGUCUGCAUUCGAUACGGGCUAGCUAGAGUGUGGUAGGGGAGAUCGGAAUUCCUGGUGUAGCGGUGAAAUGCGCAGAUAUCAGGAGGAACACGGGUGGCGAAGGCGGAUCUCUGGGCCAUUACUGACGCUGAGGAGCGAAAGCGUGGGGAGCGAACAGGAUUAGAUACCCUGGUAGUCCACGCCGUAAACGUUGGGAACUAGGUGUUGGCGACAUUCCACGUCGUCGGUGCCGCAGCUAACGCAUUAAGUUCCCCGCCUGGGGAGUACGGCCGCAAGGCUA
rnacentral:rRNA from 1 species